rnacentral:rRNA from 1 species
AUUGAACGCUAGCGGGAUGCCUUACACAUGCAAGUCGAACGGCAGCACGGACUUCGGUCUGGUGGCGAGUGGCGAACGGGUGAGUAAUGUAUCGGAACGUGCCCAGUAGCGGGGGAUAACUACGCGAAAGCGUAGCUAAUACCGCAUACGCCCUUCGGGGGAAAGCAGGGGAUCGCAAGACCUUGCACUAUUGGAGCGGCCGAUAUCGGAUUAGCUAGUUGGUGAGGUAAUGGCUCACCAAGGCCGCGAUCCGUAGCUGGUUUGAGAGGACGACCAGCCAAACUGGGAGUGAGACACGGCCCAGACUACUACGGGAGGCAGCAGUGGGGAAUUUUGGAAAAUGGGGGAAACCCUGAUCCAGCCAUCCCGCGUGUGCGAUGAAGGCCUUCGGGUUGUAAAGCACUUUUGGCAGGAAAGAAACGGCGCGUGUUAAUACCAUGCGCAACUGACGGUACCUGCAGAAUAAGCACCGGCUAACUACGUGUCAGCCGCCGCAGUAA